UCAAAAACAUGUYUUAAUGAUAAUAAUUUUAAGUCAAAUYUGCUCCAUGAUUUAAAUUAAAUAGCUGCAGAAUUUUAACUGUACAAAGGUAGCAUAAUCAAUAGUUUUUUAAUUGAAAGCUGGAAUGAAUGAUUUAAUAAAGUAAAAAGUGUCUCAAAUUUAAUAAAUUUAAAAAUUUUAUUUUAGUUAAAAUACUAAAAUAAUUUUAAAAGACGAGAAGACCCUAUAGAUUUUUAUAUUAAAAUAAAAUAAAAAAAAAUUUUUUUUUUAUUUUAAUAUUAGAUUGGGGUAAUUAUUAAAUUAAAUAAAUUUUAAUUAAUUUUAAACAAUAAUUAUUGAAUAAAUGAUCUUAAAUUUUGAAUUAUAAGAAUAAAUUACCUUAGGGAUAACAGCGUAAUUUUUUUAAAGAGAUCAUAUUGAUAAAAAAGUUUGCGACCUCGAUGUUGAAUUAAGAUAAAAUUUUAAUGAAAAAGUUAAAAAUUUUUGGUCUGUUCGACCAUUAAAAUCUUACGUGAUCUGAGUUC
rnacentral:rRNA from 1 species